GACGAACGCUGGCGGCGUGCCUAAUACAUGCAAGUCGAACGCACUCUCGUUUAGAUUGAAGGAGUUUGCUCCUGAUUGAUAAACAUUUGAGUGAGUGGCGGACGGGUGAGUAACACGUGGGUAACCUGCCCUAAAGUGGGGGAUAACAUUUGGAAACAGAUGCUAAUACCGCAUAAAACCUAACACCGCAUGUUGUAGGGUUGAAAGAUGGUUUCGGCUAUCACUUUAGGAUGGACCCGCGGUGCAUUAGUUAGUUGGUGAGGUAAAGGCUCACCAAGACCGUGAUGCAUAGCCGACCUGAGAGGGUAAUCGGCCACACUGGGACUGAGACACGGCCCAGACUACUACGGGAGGCAGCAGUAGGGAAUCUUCCACAAUGGACGAAAGUCUGAUGGAGCAACGCCGCGUGAGUGAAGAAGGUUUUCGGAUCGUAAAACUCUGUUGUUGGAGAAGAAUGUAUCUGAUAGUAACUGAUCAGGUAGUGACGGUAUCCAAACAGAAAGCCACGGCUAACUACGUG
rnacentral:rRNA from 1 species